AGGGGUCACGUGAUCGCCUUUGAAUCGCCAUUGUUUACCCGCGCUUCAGUUACUCACUUAUCGCGACAUGGCGUCUGUGUGCGUGGUCGAGUCGCGAUCGCUCCGUGUUUCCGCGUCCUCUAUAUCCUUCUCGGGCGAGCUUCGCGCCACGGACGAGUGUCGGGAGUGUCGAACCUAGUGACGCGCGACCGUCGUGGUGUAUUAUUUCGGCCGGACAGCGUCAGUGCUCGUGUCUCGCGUCUGACGAUCGGCGUGUCGCCGUCGUGUUCCCUUAUAGAAAUUUAAUACUAAUAAGUGAUAAUUUAGCCAGUGAAAAUUACUAGUUUACUGGCCAAUUUUAUUACUGGCCAAUUUAUUACAGCCAGUGAUAUUUUUCUAUAAGGAUUGUAAGAACCGUAGACCCUUUCGAAGCCGUGUUAAAGUACGCGAGUCGUGUAUCCUGCAACGCUCGUCCGCCUAAUUGAUUCCAUGGACGUCAUUCCGCAUUGGGAGCAUCGGAAAAGGAGCAUCCAGGAACUGCUACAACGACUAACCGGCUGGCGCGAUCCCCCUCUCCCCUCUGCAGCGUCGACGAGACAACAAGCUAACGGAGAUCGAUCUCGCCGGUGAGUGGAGGUAGGAAGGUCAAAGUGCGGAAAUCGCGAGAAGAAAGAACACUGGCUCCGGAAAAAAGCGAGACAGAGGGUGAGGGAGAACGAGCAAGAGAGGAGGACGGGGAGUGGAGCAGCAGCAGCAGCAGCAGCAGCAGCAGCAGGAGAAAGAGGAGGAGAAGGGGCAGGCGAAGAGAGCAGAGCGCCGACCUGGAUUGUUUUCGUCGCGAGGAGGAUUGCUCGGCCGGAAGUUGCGAAUUCGGAAGAGACUCAGAGAGGAGAGGAAGUAGAGUGUUCCGGCGCUCUCGUCGUACUUUUUCCCGGGACGGACGGACAGGAAUAACGCGACAGGGAUUUUGGACGGCUACAUUCUUCAAACGUCACAAAUCAAGACUGUCAAGAAUGUUUAACGACCAACUAGAUCUCGAGCGCUUCUUCAACGAUCUCCACUAUUUCUAUCUCCGGACAUGGCACGUCAUCGCUUUGACAUUCAUCUCAUCACGCCGACGAUUCUUCAGCAACACUUCGACGCAACGUAUUCCCUGCUAAACGUGAAUAUUCCGGACGGGACACCGGCGAAGAGAGAAAAAAUGCUAACGCGUUUUGAAAUCGCUGCCUCCGCAAGUUCUGUGCUUGCGGCCUGCACAAGUAGUCUGAACAGUCGCGAGGAGCAGCGGCGGCGGCGGCGGCAGCAACUUCGUCCAAUUAACUCGACGUACAUUUUACAAGGAAAGGAAAGCGUUAAGGCGUGCCGGGGAGAAACAAUGAGGAAAAGAGAAGUGGGAACGUCGAGAGUCGUGGAGCUUUCGCCGGCGCCAGCCCCGAAGAGGGAUAAAGCAACGCGACAAGGAAUCGUUACUUAACGAGACAUUUAGCAACUAACCAUUGCACGCGUUACAGCUGCUUUAUAAUUAACCGUGUAACCUAAUAAUAUCGCGUUCACCUCAUCAAUCGCGUGCACAAAGCCCGACAGUUGACUCGAGUCUCGAGUCGAAAUUUUGCUUCGCAUUAAUCUUGCAAAUUCCAUCAAACUUGAAAGACCAACGGGUCAGAAUAAAUAUCGAAGCGUAACGCUAUGAAAUAAUUAACUCCUACUGUACCCGAGUCGAAAUUUUAGCCCUAUAUUAAACCCUGAAUUCUACAACGCAGUAGGAACUAAGUUAGCAA